rnacentral:rRNA from 1 species
UCGGGAAUUUUGGGCAAUGGGCGAAAGCCUGACCCAGCAACGCCGCGUGAAGGAUGAAGUAUUUCGGUAUGUAAACUUCGAAAGAAUAGGAAGAAUAAAUGACGGUACUAUUUAUAAGGUCCGGCUAACUACGUGCCAGCAGCCGCAGUAAUACGUAGGGACCAAGCGUUGUUCGGAUUUACUGGGCGUAAAGGGCGCGUAGGCGGCGCUGUAAGUCACUUGUGAAAUCUCCGGGCUUAACUCGGAACGGUCAAGUGAUACUGCAGUGCUAGAGUGCGGAAGGGGCAAGCGGAAUUCUUGGUGUAGCGGUGAAAUGCGUAGAUAUCAAGAGGAACACCUGAGGUGAAGACGGGUUGCUGGGCCGACACUGACGCUGACAGCGCGAAAGCCAGGGGAGCAAACGG